rnacentral:rRNA from 1 species
UGAGGAAUAUUGGGUCAAUGGGCGAAAGCCUGAACCAGCCAAGUAGCGUGCAGGAUGACGGCCCUAUGGGUUGUAAACUGCUUUUAGGCGGGGGUAAAGGGGCGGACGUGUUCCGCCUUUGCAAGUACCGCCAGAAAAAAGGACCGGCUAAUUCCGUGCCAGCAGCCGCGGUAAUACGGAAGGCCCGGGCGUUAUCCGGAUUUAUUGGGUUUAAAGGGAGCGUAGGCGGGCUAUUAAGUCAGCUGUGAAAUCCGGCGGCUCAACCGUCGGCCUGCAGUUGAUACUGGUGGUCUUGAGUGCGCGCAGGGGCGUUGGAAUUCAUGGUGUAGCGGUGAAAUGCUCAGAUAUCAUGAAGAACUCCGAUCGCGAAGGCAGAUGCCCGGAGCGCAACUGACGCUGAGGCUCGAAAGUGCGG